rnacentral:rRNA from 1 species
AGUUAAUAGGUAUGCUUUAGGAGGGGCUUGCGCCAUAUUAGUUAGUUGGUAGGGUAAUGGCCUACCAAGACGAUGAUGUGUAGCUGGACUGAGAGGUUGAACAGCCACAUUGGGACUGAGACACGGCCCAAACUCCUACGGGAGGCAGCAGUAGGGAAUUUUCGGCAAUGGAGGAAACUCUGACCGAGCAACGCCGCGUGAAUGACGAAGUACUUCGGUAUGUAAAGUUCUUUUAUCGAGGAAGAAAAGCAAAUGGCGAACCAUUUGUUUGCCGGUACUUGAUGAAUAAGCCCCGGCUAAUUAUGUGCCAGCAGCCGCGGUAAGACAUAAGGGGCAAGUGUUAUCCGGAAUUAUUGGGCGUAAAGGGUGCGUAGGCGGUCUAGUAAGUCAGUGGUGUAAUGUCAACGCUUAACGUUGUCCGGCUAUUGAAACUGCUAAACUUGAGUUAGAUAGAGGCGAGUGGAAUUCCAUGUGUAGCGGUAAAAUGCGUAAAUAUAUGGAGAAACACCAGAGGCGUAGGCGGCUCGCUGGGUCUUAACUGACGCUGAGGCACGAAAGCGUGGGGAGCAAACAGGAUUAGAUACCCUGGUAGUCCACGCCGUAAACGAUGAGUACUAAGUGUCGGGUUAAACCGGUACUGAAGUUAACACAUUAAGUACUCCGCCUGAGUAGUACGUACGCAAGUAUGAAACUUAAAGGAAUUGACGGGACGUCCGCCAAGCGGUGGAUCAUGUUGUUUAAUUCGAAGAUACCCGAAAAACCUUACCAGGUCUUGACAUGUUUUUGCAAAAUGAUAGUAAUAUCGUGGAGGUUACCAGAAACACAGGUGGUGCAUGGUUGUCGUCAGCUCGUGUCGUGAGAUGUUAGGUUAAGUCCUAAAACGAGCGAAACCCUUAUCGUUAGUUGCCAGCACGUUAUGGUGGGGACUUUAACGAGACUGCCAAUGAUAAAUUGGAGGAAGGUGAGGAUCACGUCAAAUCAGCAUGCCCCUUAUGACCUGGGCUACAAACGUGAUACAAUGGCUGUUACAAAGGGUAGCUGAAACGCAAGUUCUUGGCCAAUCCCCAAAAACAGUCCCAGUCCGGAUUGAAGUCUGCAACUCGACUUCAUGAAGUUGGAAUCGCUAGUAAUCGCGAAUCAGCAUGUCGCGGUGAAUACGUU